UGAGCAAGCCAAUGAGCCACAUAUGUCUCAUUGCACAAUCAAUGAUUCAGGCCUAACAAUGCUGCAACAAGUACCAGCUUCAACUUUAUCACAAGAUGCUGAUACUGCAGAUGACAUAUUUCGUGAGUGAUCUUUGUUUGCACAGUUGCAAAGGGCCUGAGCAUUUUAAGAACACGAUUUAAAUGACUGACAAUACCUCACCGCAGACCCACCCUCCAUGCCAUCACCUGAGGUAGGCAGGGCCCCAGCCUCAGCUGAAACUGGUCCUACUGUUGGAGCUGCAGUGGAUGGCACAUCCUAUGUGAAGUUCUCUGAGGCUGGUGUUCAAGCCACCACUUCGGCGGCUGAAGCUUCAGUGAACACAACGUCAUGUAAGUACAGUGGCACAUAUCUCAUAGCAGCCUGCACCUGAAUAUGACACGCGUAGUAAUGUAUUGUCUGUAUGUUUCUUCCAGUGCUAAAGGACGCUGAAACACAAACAGAUAUCACAAGCAGUGCUUUAAACAGCUUCGGAGACGACAACUAGGCCCUACGUGCAGAGCUAAACGAAGUGAAGGGAUCUUUGCAUAGACUUCAGUUGUCUAAAGCUUCAUUGGAGGAAGACGACAGCCGUGUAAAAUUUUACACUGGCCUACCAAGAUACACAGUUUUGAUCGCGCUGUUCGCGCUUCUCGAGAAUGGUGUAUCGCAUAGCGCAAAAAAUGUGCUUAGAAAGUUCCAAGAACUUCUGCUCACGCUUGUGAGGCUGCGACUAGUAGUGCCCUUGCAAGACCUGGCGUAUAGAUUUGA